rnacentral:lncRNA from 1 species
GUAGUUCUUUUCUGUAUGUGGCUACUACCCCAGUGUAUGGAUUCUCUGCUCAGAGUGAUUGCUCUGAGAGGCUUUUAAGCUAAAACUGUGUUAGUUGGUAAGUAAAACUGUCCUGGAGUUAGUAAGCAUUAGGUGUUUUGCACUACUCCAUGUUUAGCUUGUUGUGAUGGCUUUGGAUCUUUACUGGAAUGGAACUGAGCCAGUAAGGAAGCUGCCUCUGAGGAUAAAAUAUAACGGGAAUGUUUUUUCCACUCAGCUUUAGUCGAGGUGUACUCUGCUAUGUACUCAGAUUUGCCAUGUAUUAGCUUGAAAGUCAGUGCUUCUUAGCUUUGAGGUUCUAAGUGGAUUUCUUUGAAGGAAGGAACUGAGUUUUUAGGUCCAUGAGAUCCUCAGCUGUGAAAACUGUAUGCCUUUUAAGAGAGCUCAUUUAACCACCAGAGACCUUGCUUUCCAGGAGGUUUCCUGACCUUAGCAAUACAGAUGAAAAACCAGUAAGUGUGAGCAAAAGGAAAGGAAUUCCUGCGAAGCUACUUCUGUGAAGGUAAGUCAUUCGUUUGGGGUGUGCUUCCUUCUGUGUCUCUGUUUUACAGGAGUUAGUAGCUGUGGGGCUAUGCAAUAUUGGCAGCUCAUUUUUCAAAAGCUUUGUUGUCAGCUGUGCUAUUUCUGGAACUGUCAUUCAAGAGGGGACAGGUGGAAGAACACAGUUAGCCGCAGCGAUUGGAGCUGGUGAUGGCACUGAAACCAGGACGCUUUUUCCAGAUGAUACCUAAUGGUAUACUGGCUGCUAUUGUGGUAUUUAACAUGAUCCCUUUACUUGAAAAAUUUCUGGACAUACCCAUCCUGUGGAGACGGGAUAAGUAUCAUUUUGUUAUUUGGCUUGCAACUUUUGCCACAGUGAUUUGUUGGUUUAGUGAUCACCAUGGGAUUUAUGUUCUUCAUAAUCACCAUUAGGUCACACAGAAUGAAGAUGGUGGUGCUGGGACAGAUUCCAAACAUGAAUAUUUAUAGAAGUUUAUCCGUCUACAGAGCUGUAAGAGGAAACAAAAAACAAAUGUUCCAUCUCUUUCUGUAAUCCAGCUCCUUCCCUUAAAUGCCUGGGGGGACCAUUCAGACUCAGUUCAGUUGAUUCAAAACUUUGAGAACUGAAGAAUGCUGAAGUAUCUGUGGUGAAGUGAUUCGGAUACCUGGCUCAGCCUGCCCAGGCCCCGUGGAGAUCCUUGUGUCAACCUGUGCAGUCGUGUCCAACAGUGGGAGCUGCACUGCUGUCACGUCCAGAGCUGUUUGGCAUUUUUUGCUGACCUGCUUUUCUCAGUCUGGUUUUGUCCACUCUACAUAUGUUUUCACAAUAACAACUGUGCAUGUGCUAGACUGACUCAUAGGUUCUCCCGAUGAUGGGAAAAUAGGUAGGACAUGGGCCUUUUUAACAUACUGUUUUCAAGUCCUGCACCAGUUAGGCAGUGCAGUAGUAGAAAGCUUUGCCUUUGCCACAUGGGUACCUUCCCAGUGCUAUGCUGAUGGAUUGGAAAAAAAUGGAAUAAUAUAAGGACAAGGUUAGUAAAACAAAGGUAUAGUGUAUGUUUUCUGUAAUGAGCAUCGAAAAUAAUAUCACAUUUUACAUUAGAGCAGCCAGCUGCCAUCUGUGAUAGAUAUGCUGGAGGUAUGUUUUUAAUUGCAAGAGAAGCAGAUUAGAUUAUGGUAAUUAGGUCCAUGCUGCCAAUGCCACUACCAGUAUGCAGUGUAGUCAGCAAUGUGACUGGACAAACUCUGUCCUUAGGGUAGGACCUUGCAGACUAAACCUAGACAGUCAGGAGGGGAAAAAUAGCUCCUGCGAGGUACAGCCCUCACAGAUACAACUUUUGUUUUACAGGCAAGGGAGAUUGAAAGUAUCAAAAUCUUCCAGUGCUGUUCUUCCAUCUCUUUUGCAAACAUGAAUCACUUCAAAACCUACUUGCUAUGCAAGGUAAAUGCCACUUUUUCAGUCAGCAGAAGUUUCUAAGAGCCUGCAUUGGCAAGAUAAAAACCUAAUAAAACUGCCUUUCUGUUUCA